rnacentral:rRNA from 1 species
UGGGGAAUUUUGGACAAUGGGCGAAAGCCUGAUCCAGCAAUGCCGCGUGUGUGAAGAAGGCCUUCGGGUUGUAGAGCACUUUUGUCCGGAAAGAAAUCCUUGGCUCUAAUACAGUCGGGGGAUGACGGUACCGGAAGAAUAAGCACCGGCUAACUACGUGCCAGCAGCCGCGGUAAUACGUAGGGUGCAAGCGUUAAUCGGAAUUACUGGGCGUAAAGCGUGCGCAGGCGGUUUGCUAAGACCGAUGUGAAAUCCCCGGGCUCAACCUGGGAACUGCAUUGGUGACUGGCAGGCUAGAGUAUGGCAGAGGGGGGUAGAAUUCCACGUGUAGCAGUGAAAUGCGUAGAGAUGUGGAGGAAUACCGAUGGCGAAGGCAGCCCCCUGGGCCAAUACUGACGCUCAUGCACGAAAGCGUGGGGAGCAAACAGGAUUAGAUACCCUGGUAGUCCACGCCCUAAAACGAUGUCAACUAGUUGUUGGGGAUUCAUUUCCUUAGUAACGUAGCUAACGCGUGAAGUUGACCGCCUGGGGAGUACGGUCGCAAGAUUAAAACUCAAAGGAAUUGACGGGGUCAUAGCUGUUUCCU